rnacentral:rRNA from 1 species
GAACGAACGCUGGCGGCGCGCCUAAUACAUGCAAGUCGAGCGAGAAGACGUAGCAAUACGUUUGUAAAGCGGCGAACGGGUGAGGAAUACAUGGGUAACCUACCCUCGAGUGGGGAAUAACUAGCCGAAAGGUUAGCUAAUACCGCGUACGCUCCUCGGACUUCGGUUCAGGGAGGAAAGCGAUACCGUGGGUAUCGCGCUCUUGGAUGGGGCUCAUGUCCUAUCAGCUUGUUGGUGAGGUAACGGCUCACCAAGGCUUCGACGGGUAGCUGGUCUGAGAGGACGAUCAGCCACACUGGCACUGCGACACGGGCCAGACUCCUACGGGAGGCAGCAGUAAGGAAUAUUGCGCAAUGGGCGAAAGCCUGACGCAGCGACGCCGCGUGGGGGAUGAAGGUCUUCGGAUUGUAAACCCC